UCAAUGGUUGGCUCGAAUCCCACAGGGAUGGAAUCCAGAGGACUUUUUGGUUGAUGUAAUUAAACUAAACUAUGGGAAUGGGGAAGAGGACCCAAUACAGAAUGUGCGUUUCUACAGAAAGGAAAAUCCAAGUGAAGCCAUCCAAUUGAACAGAGAGGAAGUCUCUCGCCUUCUUCCCGAAACAUUUGCUGAGCAAACGGUCGUAAUCUACUACAAGGGGACAGAAAAUCAGACUCUGGAUGCUGCAACGGAGCUUUAUAGACAAUGGAGGAA